AGAGUGAACGCUGGCGGUAGGCCUAACACAUGCAAGUCGAACGGCAGCACAGUGGUAGCAAUACCAUGGGUGGCGAGUGGCGGACGGGUGAGGAAUACAUCGGAAUCUACCUUUUCGUGGGGGAUAACGUAGGGAAACUUACGCUAAUACCGCAUAAGACCUUCGGGUGAAAGCCGGGGACCUUCGGGCCUGGCGCGGAUAGAUGAGCCGAUGUCGGAUUAGCUUGUUGGCGGGGUAAAAGCCCACCAAGGCGACGAUCCGUAGCUGGUCUGAGAGGAUGAUCAGCCACACUGGAACUGAGACACGGUCCAGACUCCUACGGGAGCAGCAGUGGGGAAUAUUGGACAAUGGG
rnacentral:rRNA from 1 species